rnacentral:rRNA from 1 species
GUUGACCUCGGAUCAGGUAGGGAUACCCGCUGAACUUAAGCAUAUCAAUAAGCGGAAGAAAAGAAACCAACCGGGAUUGCCUCAGUAACGGCGAGUGAAGCGGCAAAAGCUCAAAUUUGAAAUCUGGCUCCUUCGGAGUCCGAGUUGUAAUUUGCAGAGGAUGCUUCGGUUGCGGCCCCCAUCUAAGUACCCUGGAACGGGUCGUCAUAGAGGGUGAGAAUCCCGUAUGGGAUGGGGUGUCCGUGUCCGUGUGAAGCUCCUUCGACGAGUCGAGUUGUUUGGGAAUGCAGCUCUAAAUGGGUGGUAAAUUUCAUCUAAAGCUAAAUACUGGCCGGAGACCGAUAGCGCACAAGUAGAGUGAUCGAAAGAUGAAAAGCACUUUGAAAAGAGAGUUAAACAGCACGUGAAAUUGUUGAAAGGGAAGCGCUUGCGAUCAGACUCGCCUGCGGGGUUCAGCCGGCUUUCGGGCCGGUGUACUUCCCCGUGGGCGGGCCAGCGUCGGUUUGGGCGGCCGGUCAAAGGCCCCUGGAAUGUAGCGCCUCUCGGGGCGCCUUAUAGCCAGGGGUGCAAUGCGGCCUGCCUGGACCGAGGAACGCGCUUCGGCACGGACGCUGGCAUAAUGGUCGUAAGCGACC